AAAAUAGUUUAAGGCCCUUCGAUUUGGAAGCCGCAAAAACAAGUUUCUUUUUUCUCUCCCUCUGCACGCGUAGCAAGCUCAGUCUCCGGCAGAUCAUCACGCUCGUCUCCGUUUCUCAGGUUAUUGUAGCUGAGGAGUUGAGGUUGAAGGAGGAGAAAGGAGCAGAAACGGUAAAAAGGAGAAAUGGAGUUCAGAUCUGAAGCUAAUAGUAUAAAGGACCAAUUGUAUGCAAUAGUUGAGAAGAUUGAGGCCCUUAACAGCAAGCUGGAUGGAUUGAAUGCUGCUAGAGAAAAAAAUAGGAUUAGAAAUCAGCAUGAGAUAGUCUACAUAAUUGCGCAUCAGAAGACUAUGAAAAAAACCAUUGCUGGACUUCAAUACAGAAUCCAAGCCCACGACCUCCAAAGUUACAUUGAAUUUUCUGAUGAUAACAAGAAUGGAUUAUAACAUUGCUGUUCUUUUUAAUUCUUAAAAAUUGGAGAGUAGAAGCUGC